rnacentral:rRNA from 1 species
CUUGCCCUACGGGACGCAGCAGUGAGGAAUAUUGGUCAAUGGCCGGAAGGCUGAACCAGCCAAGUCGCGUGAGGGAAUAAGGCCCUAUGGAUUGUAAACCUCUUUUGCCGGGGAGCAAAAAGCGGUACGUGUACCGCAUCGAGAGUACCCGGAGAAAAAGCAUCGGCUAACUCCGUGCCAGCAGCCGCGGUAAUACGGAGGAUGCGAGCGUUAUCCGGAUUUAUUGGGUUUAAAGGGUGCGCAGGCGGCGAGUUAAGUCAGCGGUAAAAUUUCGGGGCUCAACCCCGACGAGCCGUUGAAACUGG